GGGUGAGACCACCGAGAAUUUCACUGCCCUCUUCCAGUGGCACAGCUCAAGACACAUGCAGGGGCAAGCUUCUGGCUCAGCAAUCUAGGAAUUGAAUGGUACAUCUACAGUGAGUCCUGUUUGAUAAGCAAAGCCUGCCAAAAUGCAGAUUCCUCUAAUUCCAAGGCAAUCACAGACUGUUUAAUCUGGUUUGUAUCCAAACUGAGGAUGGGCAGUUUGGAUGUAAGUAGGAGAACGAGAGGUCGGUGAAUUCAGGCACCUUCCUCCUACUAGUUAAUAUGUGAAAUGCCUCAACUCAGCACAUUGAGAACAGCACCAGAUAUAACUUGUUUUUUCUAAAUAAUCACAAGCACGUGAGAUCACUAAGACAGCCAUCUUUGAUUAUAUUCUUCAGGCCUCUCUGCACAUAAUGCAAAUCCCUUUAAAAAACAAUGAAUUAAAUAACAACAACAACAAUAAUGUAUGUGCACUAGAAGAGCAAGCCUGGACCAAGGAGACGAUGCUCCACCCUAAAUACCCUUGAGCUGCAUCUCCUUUCCUAUGAAGAGAGAAGCACUCGGAUAAAACAGUGAUGUGAGACUUUCUCCAUGACAACAGCUGGAAAGGAGCCUGGGGUCCGGAAGUGGUCCCACAAGGAGAUGCUUUCACCACCAAGUAAGCUUUUUUCCCCUCCGGUCAAUUAAAACUUUAGCAGCAUUGCACAAAAGCAGCCCACAAAGACCUAAUGGGAAAAAGAUUAGGAGACAGUUUGCUCUGAAUAGCCUGCAGUUUUGUUUAGUUUUAUCAUCAUCUAAAUCCACCCUAGGAAAUUUAUACAUUUUCUGCCACUGUCCUUUAACAGUUUGCAGCAGGAUCUGCCAGAGGAGUCAAAACAUAUUUUCCCAUGUUCAGAUGAUCUUGCAACACAAGUUACUAUCAUUACAUGUAGCAUUUUACACUUUGCUCCAGUACCACCUAUUGACCAGCUUAGAAAAAUAUUCCUGUUUAACAGUAGAAUUUAGAUGCCUUAAUAACAUCUCAUACAAGUGCACUGGCUUUUUGCAAAGAAAAAGACUUUGUCUGUUGGAACUAUUCCUACAGUUCAAAACCUCUCUGCCUGAAAUUAGCAGUAUGUACCAGUAAGUCAUCUUUUUAAGUUAGAAAAACACAACAUGUCAUGACAAAGCAGGAUGCUCCUCUCUGUAAUCUCCUGAUAAACACAUGCAUUUUACAUAAAGUGCAAAUUAUAUUGAAAGCUUUACUUCAAAUCUAAGCCCAUCAAAGGAUCAAACCAGCAGCAACAUUUUAUGAUCUCAUCGGACUUACAAGAGACAGGGUGCAGCAUUUGGCAAAGUGGUUCACUGAGUGCAUGACAUCUGACAGAGCUACAGCAAGCUACACUGAACUGAUCUGAACACUUAGAGUGAUCUAAAAGACUGAAUAAAAUUUUCACAAAGAAAAAGCACAAAAAAUGGAGAAAAAAACACAGCCAAACAUUACAUGAUGCAAUGAAAGGUAGGAGAUGUAGAAGAACUAGAGUGUUCUUAUUUUCUUGCUACUAAUAUUUCUGACAUUCCUGAAUGGUUUCCUGCACCAAUAAGAACCAGUAACAUAAGCACAGCAUGAAAAAAGUUCUUUAUGCAUUGCUGUUGUUCUUAUUCAUUUGUCAGCAUGUGGUAAGUUAAUGAAUACAUAGAGGAAAGGUUCUUCAAAAUGAGUUCUGAAAAACAUGAUUUUAUCCUGCACUUUUUCUUGUAAGGUCCAAUUUUGUUUUGGGUUUGCCUACUAUUUUAACCAAAUUCCCAGGUUACAAAUUUACUGAUUAUUUCAAAACCAGUUACCUGACCUUUCCUAUGUGCAUGAAUCUGCUUUAAAUUAAAAGCAAAUAAUAUAAUAUUUACAAUUUAAAUUUUAUAUCCUCCCCUCGCCCUCAGUACUGUUAGUACUUGUUAUUUUUUACUUGUAUCAGAAUUUAAUCUUUAAAUUUCAAAAACGAGUAUGCAAUAAUUUUCUGAUCUGAUGUUGUAAGGUAGAUUUAACACCCAAACAUCAUUAUGAUUUCAGUCUGAUUUCAGGAAGAGACAGUUCUACAGAGUGCAAUGAAGAACAGAUUAUUGCAAAGAUUGAAGACAAUGCACAAAAUUAGACAUGGUGACAGCUGCAAAUCAACUAAUAUAUUUUCAGUCUCUGCAUAACAUUAGGGCUUCUCAGUUGAUUAAUGAAGUAAGAAGUUAUGGGAUAUAUAUAUUAUGAGAGUAUGUUUUCAGAAUCAAUGGAGAGAAAACCUCUCCACAUUGCACAUCACUAAAACCACCACAGUAUACCAACGCACUUACAAUUUGACAUGGAGUCCAUUCUGAAAAAAAA